GGACGAACGCUGGCGGCGUGCCUAAUACAUGCAAGUCGAGCGGACCGAUGGGAGCUUGCUCCCUAGGUCAGCGGCGGACGGGUGAGUAACACGUGGGUAACCUGCCUGUAAGACCGGGAUAACUCCGGGAAACCGGGGCUAAUACCGGAUGCUUGAUUGAACCGCAUGGUUCAAUCAUAAAAGGUGGCUUUUAGCUACCACUUACAGAUGGACCCGCGGCGCAUUAGCUAGUUGGUGAGGUAACGGCUCACCAAGGCGACGAUGCGUAGCCGACCUGAGAGGGUGAUCGGCCACACUGGGACUGAGACACGGCCCAGACUCCUACGGGAGGCAGCAGUAGGGAAUCUUCCGCAAUGGACGAAAGUCUGACGGAGCAACGCCCGCGUGAGUGAUGAAGGUUUUCGGAUCGUAAAACUCUGUUGUUAGGGAAGAACAAGUACCGUUCGAAUAGGGCGGUACCUUGACGGUACCUAACCAGAAAGCCACGGCUAACUACGUGCCAGCCGCCGC
rnacentral:rRNA from 1 species